rnacentral:rRNA from 1 species
UACGUAGGGGGCAAGCGUUGUCCGGAAUCAUUGGGCGUAAAGCGCGUGUAGGCGGCUUGGUAAGUCUGCUCUGAAAGCCCGGGGCUCAACCCCGGGAGGCGGGUGGAUACUGUCAAGCUCGAGUCCGGAAGAGGAGUGUGGAAUUCCUGGUGUAGCGGUGAAAUGCGCAGAUAUCAGGAGGAACACCAGUGGCGAAGGCGACUUCCUGGCCUGUUCUUGACGCUGAGGCGCGAAAGCUAGGGGAGCAAACGGG